rnacentral:rRNA from 2 species
GUGACCUCAAAUCAGGUAGGACUACCCGCUGAACUUAAGCAUAUCAAUAAGCGGAGGAAAAGAAACUAACAAGGAUUCCCCUAGUAACUGCGAGUGAAGCGGGAAAAGCUCAAAUUUAAAAUCUGUCAGUCUUUGGCUGUCCGAGUUGUAAUCUAGAGAAGCGUUAUCCGCGCUGGACCGUGUACAAGUCUCCUGGAAUGGAGCGUCAUAGAGGGUGAGAAUCCCGUCUUUGACACGGACUGCCAGGGCUUUGUGAUGCGCUCUCAAAGAGUCGAGUUGUUUGGGAAUGCAGCUCAAAAUGGGUGGUAAAUUCCAUCUAAAGCUAAAUAUUGGCGAGAGACCGAUAGCGAACAAGUACCGUGAGGGAAAGAUGAAAAGAACUUUGGAAAGAGAGUUAAACAGUACGUGAAAUUGCUGAAAGGGAAACGCUUGAAGUCAGUCGCGUUGUCCAGGGAUCAACCUUGCUUUUGCUUGGUGUACUUUCUGGUCGACGGGUCAGCAUCAAUUUUGACUGUUGGAAAAAGGUCAGGGGAAUGUGGCAUCUUUAGAUGUGUUAUAGCCCUUGGUUGCAUACAAUGGUUGGGAUUGAGGAACUCAGCACGCCGCAAGGCCGAGUAAUUUUACUACGUACGUGCUUAGGAUGCUGGCAUAAUGGCUUUAAUCGACCCGUC